rnacentral:rRNA from 1 species
AUACAGAGGGUGCGAGCGUUAAUCGGAAUUACUGGGCGUAAAGCGCGCGUAGGCGGUUAUUUAAGUCAGAUGUGAAAUCCCUGGGCUCAACCUAGGAACUGCAUCUGAAACUGGAUAACUAGAGUUUAGGAGAGGGGAGUAGAAUUUCGGGUGUAGCGGUGAAAUGCAUAGAGAUCCGAAGGAAUACCAGUGGCGAAGGCGACUCCCUGGCCUAGAACUGACGCUGAGGCGUGAAAGCGUGGGGAGCAAACAGGAUUAGAAACCCUUGUAGUCC